rnacentral:tRNA from 1 species
UCAGUGGGUAGCGCAGUUGGUUAGCGCGCUCGAUUGAGGGUCGAGAGGUCGCCGGUUCGAGCCCGGCCCUACUCGCCC